rnacentral:rRNA from 1 species
CUACGGGAUGCUCCAGUGAGGAAUAUUGCACAAUGGGGGGAACCCUGAUGCAGCAACGCCGCGUGGAGGAUGACGCAUUUCGGUGUGUAAACUCCUUUUAUAUGUCAAGAAAAUGACGGUAGCAUAUGAAUAAGCACCGGCUAACUCCGUGCCAGCAGCCGCGGUAAUACGGAGGGUGCAAGCGUUACUCGGAAUCACUGGGCGUAAAGGACGUGUAGGCGGGUCGGAAAGUCAGGUGUGAAAUCCUACAGCUUAACUGUAGAACUGCGCUUGAAACUUCUAAUCUAGAGUAUGGGAGGGGGAGAUGGAAUUAGUGGUGUAGGGGUAAAAUCCGUAGAUAUCACUAGGAAUACCUAAAGCGAAGGCGAUCUCCUGGAACAUUACUGACGCUAAGGCGUGAAAGCGUGGGGAGCAAACAGGAUUAGAUACCCUCGUAGUC